GACGAACGCUGGCGGCGUGCUUAACACAUGCAAGUCGAACGGUAAGGCCCUUCGGGGUACACGAGUGGCGAACGGGUGAGUAACACGUGGGUGAUCUGCCCUGCACUUCGGGAUAAGCCUGGGAAACUGGGUCUAAUACCGGAUAGGACCACUGCCUGCAUGGGUGGUGGUGGAAAGCUUUUGCGGUGUGGGAUGGGCGCGCGGCCUAUCAGCUUGUUGGUGGGGUGAUGGCCUACCGAGGCGACGACGGGUAGCCGGCCUGAGAGGGUGACCGGCAACGCUGGGACGGGGAUAAGGCCCAGACUCCGAGGGGAGGCAGCAGUGGGGAAUAUUGCGCAAUGGGCGGAAGCCUGAUGCGGCGGCGCCGCGUGAGGGAUGACGGCAUUCGGGUUGUAAACCUCUUUCGGCACCGACGAAGCGAAAGUGACGGUAGGUGCAGAAGAAGGACCGGCCAACUACGUGCCAGCCGCCGCAGUAA
rnacentral:rRNA from 1 species